rnacentral:rRNA from 1 species
CACGUAGGGGGCGAGCGUUGUUCGGAAUCAUUGGGCGUAAAGGGCGUGCAGGCGGUCCUGCAAGUCCGGCGUGAAAGACCCCGGCCCAACCGGGGAGACGCGCUGGAAACUGUGGGGCUUGAGUACAGGAGGGGAUGCCGGAAUUCCAGGUGUAGGGGUGAAAUCUGUAGAUAUCUGGAGGAACACCAAUGGCGAAGGCAGGCAUCUGGCCAUGUACUGACGCUGAGACGCGAAGGUGCGGGGAGCAAACAGGUUUAGAUACCCUGGUAGUCCCU